rnacentral:misc_RNA from 1 species
AAGGAUCAUUAAAUGAUAGUACUGGCCCUAAGGUGUGGUAAUACAUGCCUGUGGGCUUUACGUCUAUUACCCUUGUUUUUCGAGUACCUAUGUUUCCUUGGUGGGCUUGCCCGCCAAUUGGACACCCUAUUAAACCUUUUUAAUUUUUAAUCAGCGUCUGAAUAAACUUAAUAAUUACAACUUUCAACAACGGAUCUCUUGGUUCUG